CUCCUCCCCCCCAUCUCUCUCUCUCUCUCUCUUUCUCUCUCUCUCUCUCUCUCUCUCUCUCUCUCUCUCUCUCUCUCAAGGCUAGAAACCCUGAACCCUAGCUGUCAGUACUGGCUCUCUGUCUCCCGUAGUGUCCUCUGUCUCUCCUCCUAUGUGUCAUUGUUGUUUUGAAUCAGUGGACUCUGGCUCCUAUUCGUCCUUCUUGUAUGCUCUAACUUUGCAUUAUGACAAGCUUUUUUGUAAAAUGGAGUAGCCACAUCGCAUUUUUGGUGUCUGCUUCUAAAAGUGAAAAAUCUUUGACGAGGGUUGUGUAGCUUGAAUUAAGUGUGGCCUUUGGAAGAAGUCUGACAUAGCAAGUAGGAGAGGAAUUUGUGCAGGUGAUGGCGUUGCAUUUUGGGACUGGCAUCAAAGUCGGUCAUCGAUGGAUUGGAACUCUCGCAUAUCGGGAGAAUAUUAGAAGUAUUGAUGAAGCUGUAAGUUAUGUUUGUCAUAUUUAUGUGUGAGUUAUGAAGGAUUGAAAAUAUCAUUUUUCUUCCUCUAAUGUGAUGUAGGUAUAUAUAGGUCUUGGCUCAAAGUUGCAUUAAGGCAUUGGCAGGUUUAGGUUCAGGUAGUGUGACAAAUAAUGUGAAUGCACGUCCCAACAUUUUUCAAGUGUGAACUAUACAAGAAGCGGAGCAUUUGCAUUGGCCAAAAGUGAUGUCCCCAAAAAUAAAAAAAAAUUAAUAAUACUUUUUUAUAUGAUGUAAUAAUCAAAUUAAUUGGCUAAAGUUUUUAAUUACAACUCAGUCAUAAUAGGUUAGGGAUCGAUUAUUGACUCACAACUAUGGACUUUGGUUAAUGCCUAAUUGUAUAGCAAUCGUCUCCAUUUAAGUUAAUUCUGUAAAUGACUAUGUCUACGACAUGCUUUGUUCUUGACUGGCUUCAUUUUUGUUUAACUCAGGGAUGUCUGGCAGUGAGCCGAAUUUGGACGAUGGCAGCACGUCAGAGUUUUCAGGCCAAUGGAUUGAUGCUUGGAGCAUCGAUUCGGAUAAUGAAGAUGAUUCGAACAGGUCGGAGGAAUCGCAGACUGAGGAAGGGGAUAGUGUCCCCACCGACCGUGAAUACUAAGGUUGGGAUGGUGGUGGAAGCAAUAUAGAUGCCUCAACGGAGGAUCAUAGGAACUCAGAGAAUAUCAUAGGUGAACAAUUUAGCAGUCCAAACGCUAUGAAUGCUUCUGUGUUGUUAUCUGCGUCCAAACGCUAUGAAUACA